ensembl:snoRNA SNORA62 Small nucleolar RNA SNORA62/SNORA6 family
CAUGCACAUUAUUAGAGCUUGGAGUUGAGGCCUCUGGCUGGACGAUGAACUGGCAAGCGUAAGUAGUGUGCUACAUGUGGGGCAAGUCUUUCGCCAACACCACAAGGGUCUCUGGCCCAAUGAGUAGAGUUUGAUAGUAAUUCUUGCUACAACU